rnacentral:lncRNA from 1 species
AUGAUCACCAUGAUCACCAUGAUCACCAUCAUCACCAUCACCAUCACCAUAUCACCAUCAUCAUCACUAUUGGGCAGGUUCUUCCCCAGGCUACCACAUUUGCAUCACCAUCAUCACCAUCAUCACCAUCAUCACCAUCACCAUCUUUACCAUCACCAUCAUCACCAUCACCAUCAUCACCAUCAUCACCAUCAUCACCAUCACCAUCUUCACCAUCACCAUCAUCACCAUCAUCACCAUCAUCACCAUCACCAUCUUUACCAUCACCAUCAUCACCAUCAUCACCAUCAUCACCAUCACCAUCAUCACCAUCAUCACCAUCACCAUCUUUACCAUCAUCAUCACCACCAUCAUCACCAUCAUCACCAUCAUCACCAUCACCAUCAUCACCAUCAUCACCAUCACCAUCAUCACCAUCAUCACCAUCAUCACCAUCACCAUCUUUACCAUCAUCAUCACCACCAUCAUCAGCAUCAGCAUCAUCACCAUCAUCACCAUCACGAUCAUCACCCUCUUCAACAUCAUCAUCAUCAGCAGCAGCAGCAGCAGCAUCAUCACCAUCAUCACCAUCAUCACCAUCAUCAUCAUCACCAUCUUCACCAUCAUCAUCAUCAUCAUCAUCAUCAGCUAUCAUGUUUACAUCACCAUCAUCAUCAUCACCAUCAUCAUCAUCACCAUCAUCACCAUCAUGACCAUCACCAUCUUCACCAUCAUCAUCAUCACCACCAUCAGCAUCAUCACCAUCCUCACCAUCAUCAGCACCAUCAUCACCACUAUCAUCGUCAUCAUCAUCAGCAGCAGCAGCAUCAUCACCAUCUUCACCAUCAUCAUCACUAUUGGGCAGGUUCUUCCCCAGGCUACCACAUUUGCAUCACCAUCAUCACCAUCACCAUCUUUACCAUCAUCAUCACCACCAUCAUCACUAUCACCAUCAUCACCAUCAUCACCAUCAUCACCAUCACCCUCUUUAACAUCAUCAGCAGCAGCAUUAGCUAUCAUGUUUGCAUCACCACCAUCAUCAUCACCACCACCACCAUCAUGAUAAUCACUACCAGGCAGGUCCUGCCUCAUGCUACCAUGUUUGCAUCCCUACCCACCACAUCAUUGGCAGCAGCAGCACCAUUACCGUCUUUAUCACAGCCUCGGGGCUCAUUUGGUGAUGAAUGA